AACGCACGAGACCUGCGGACCUGCGGAGGGAUCAUUAUAGAGUGGUAAACCCCCCGUAAAAGGGGGGGACCUCCUGUCCUUUGUAGGCUCUUUUUUAAAAGGGCUUUUUUUAAUUUUCUGCUUCGGUGGGGUUAUCCCACCGGAACAACCUCAAAACUCUUAUCAAAAAAUCGUUCUGUCUGAGAACCUUUUAUAAUAAAAAAAAACUUUUAGCAACGGAUCUCUAGAUCGGAAGAGCAC
rnacentral:misc_RNA from 1 species